AUUGAACGCUGGCGGCAGGCUUAACACAUGCAAGUCGAGCGGGGUGAUGGUGCUUGCACUAUCACUUAGCGGCGGACGGGUGAGUAAUGCUUAGGAAUCUGCCUAUUAGUGGGGGACAACAUCUCGAAAGGGAUGCUAAUACCGCAUACGUCCUACGGGAGAAAGCAGGGGAUCACUUGUGACCUUGCGCUAAUAGAUGAGCCUAAGUCGGAUGAGCUAGUUGGUGGGGUAAAGGCCUACCAAGGCGACGAUCUGUAGCGGGUCUGAGAGGCUGAUCCGCCACACUGGGACGGAGACACGGCCCAGACUCCUACGGGAGGUAGCAGUGGGGAAUAUUGGACAAUGGGUGGAACCCUGAUCCAGCCAUGCCGCGUGUGUGAAGAAGGCCUUAUGGUUGUAAAGCACUUUAAGCGAGGAGGAGGCUCUUUUGGUUAAUACCCAAGAUGAGUGGACGUUACUCGCAGAAUAAGCACCGGCUAACUCUGUGCCAGCAGCCGCGGUAACAC
rnacentral:rRNA from 1 species